UCCAGCAGCCAUAUCACCCUGUAGCUCACCACUGGUAGCCCACUGAAGCUCAGCAGGUGUGAGCCUGGUCAGUACCUGGAUGGGAGACCUCCUGGGAAAAACUAAGGUUGCUGCUGGAA
ensembl:rRNA 5S_rRNA 5S ribosomal RNA